rnacentral:rRNA from 2 species
UACGGAGGGUGCAAGCGUUAUCCGGAUUUACUGGGUUUAAAGGGUGCGUAGGUGGAUAAUUAAGUCAGUGGUGAAAUCUUCAGGCUUAACCUGGAAACUGCCAUUGAUACUAUUUAUCUUGAAUACUUUGGAGGUAAGCGGAAUAUGUCAUGUAGCGGUGAAAUGCUUAGAUAUGACAUAGAACACCAAUUGCGAAGGCAGCUUACUACACAGUAAUUGACACUGAGGCACGAAAGCGUGGGGAUCAAACAGG